CUUUAGUUGUUUCUUGAAGAUGGUUAAGAAGAGAAAAUUUUAUUUUAAAAUUUUAAAUAAAAAAAAAAUGUAAUUUUACAUUUAAAGAGAAAAAGGAAAUCGUUUAAGUUUGAACCUUACGAGGACAAUCUACUGAAUCUGAGAUAUCAAUAUUCUAAUGCCGUCACUUCAUGUUAAUUGUGUUACUUUUUAUUUUCAUUUUUUUUAACCUAAAACUACUGAACUAUAUCAUCAGCUCUUUGAAGACAUGUAUACAACAGCUAUGUGCACAACGCACCAUCAAUUUGCAUUGUUUGCACUGAAACAUAUGGAGGUCUGUGGCAGACUGUCAGUCAUCCUCUUGUUCCAUCUUGUUUGUUCCACAUUGUUUCCUUCCCAUUGUCCUUGAGUACAAAGAUAACCCUGUGAAAUUCCUACUGAGCCUCUGACGAAAUGGGAGCAACUGAUGACGGACACUGAGAACACAUAAAGCGGAUGCCCCGUUUGCAAAGGUCUCCAAGCGCAUAAAUAAACGUCAAGUGGUACAUGUUGGCACCCUUGCAAACCAUAUACAUACUACUUAAGUUACAUGGCCAACUGAGGCAAAACGAUGCCAGUCACAAGACAAGUGAUUAUUAUUAACCGGCAAGCAGAUUUGUAUUGAGUUAAAGUUGAAAGACAUAGACUUGGCAUAAUCAUUUGUUCGUUUGCAUAAUGAAAAAUUGGUAGCACUUUGUUACAAUCGUGUUGCACAUGUACAUACUAUGUAAUUAUUAUAGUAAUUACAAUAACUUGGUAACCCUAAACCUAAAACCCAUGUAGUUGGCUUAUAUUAUGCGGUACUUACUUAGUUAAGUACACUGUAAGUACAGGUCAUUGCACGUACAAUAAAAAAAGUGCAACCGAAAAAUGAGUUCAUUAAGCAAAUGAAGAGAUCAGUUCGUAUAAAAUACAAUGUUCGUGUGUUAUUCUCAUUAUGUACCGAUUACUGGACGUCUGAAAGGGUCAACUGGCUGUUUGUUUCCCAUUUGUCAACCAAAAGGACGAGAGCUGAAAGUUUAAGAUGCUGCUAGAUUUUAAAUCACAAGGGUCUUCUCACAGUCUUGUGAGAUGUCAAGCCAGCAGUUAUUAUCUCCUGACUUACAGCAAUAUGUCUCAAGUACAUUCUGCUGUGGUUUAAGGUUGCAGGAUGGUUCCUCUGUGAACCUUUGAGGAGCUCCUCCCUAUAUUCAGACUCCACCUCCAGCACUGUUCUUCACCUUCAACACUAAGGUUAACACUGUUCAUACAGCGUUCAGCCUGGCAAGCAGCAGCUCUUCAUCAAAGAUCCGCUGUUUAAUUUAGAAGUUUUCAGUUGGAUUUGUUGAAUAUAUUAAUCGUUUGAUUUGUUUUUCAGGUCUCAAGCCUUAUGCACUCAACAGAAUGGAGGACACUUGAUGCAGUGUUGAAGACGUUGAGAGGGCACACUUUGGUCCAUCAGAGAUGCACCCUUCAUAUUUGGUAGACACCAUGACUGCAAAGACUCUUCAACCAAAGAAAGUCUUGAGUUUCAUUCAUGCAGGAAAUAAUAAAUAAUGUGGAUCCUGUUGGGGAAGCCCUUUCUGCAGAUUCUAAUGCCCUCCAGCACACCGUUACAGCGCAGCUGGUGCAUGACCAGAGGAUUCUCCAUCGCUCCAGGAGUCUUAGUCUCAUUGGGGAUGAUGCAGCGCACAAAGUGAGGGUGAGUUGACCUCAAGUUGGUCAUCAGUUUGUUCAGGUUCUCCUGUGGUUAGAUAUUAUUAAUCACUCUGCCAACAUAUAUUUUAGGUUGUCAUACUCAUUAAAGAGAUUAAGAAACCAAAUCAUACUAUAUUACGGAAAUCAUUUUAGUGUGUAAAACACUGUAUAUGUUACCCUGUGAAGAGCAGACACGGUCUGGAAAGAAGAGCCCUUUUUCUUCUUCUCCUUUACUUUGCCUCCACCUCCUUCUGCCAUGGCUGUUGCAAGAAAUAAACUUUGUUUUUACUUAAAAACUAACCUUGAAUCAAAUCCUUAAUUGUCUCAGAUUUUUCCCCCUUUGACAUCAAAAAAAAAAAAAAAAAAAAAAACACACCUGAUUCA